UUGGAGGGCAAGUCUGGUGCCAGCAGCCGCGGUAAUUCCAGCUCCAAUAGCGUAUAUUAAAGUUGUUGCAGUUAAAAAGCUCGUAGUUGAAUUUCGGGGUUCUACCGUUGGUCGGGCUUUGUCUGUACUGGUGUGUAGAAUUUCUACCUUCUGGGGAACCAUCAUGCUAUUAAUUUAGCGUGGUGGGAAACCAGGACCUUUACCUUGAAAAAAUUAGUGUGUUCAAAGCAGGCUUAUGUCUGAAUACAUUAGCGUGGAAUAAUAGAAUAGGACGGUGGUCCUGUUUUGUUGGUUUCUGAAUCACCGUAAUGAUUAAUAGGGAUAGUUGGGGGUAUUAGUAUUCAAUUGUCAGAGGUGAAAUUCUUGGAUUUAUUGAAGACUAACUUCUGCGAAAGCAUUUGCCAAGGAUGUUUUCAUUAAUCAAGAACGAAAGUUAGGGGAUCGAAGACGAUCAGAUACCGUCGUAGUCUUAACCAUAAACUAUGCCGACUAGGGAUCGGACGAUGUUAAUUUUUCUUGACUCGUUCGGCGCCUUACGGGAAAC
rnacentral:rRNA from 1 species